GAUGAACGCUGGCGGCGUGCUUAACACAUGCAAGUCGAACGGAAAGGCCAGUGCUUGCACUGGUACUCGAGUGGCGAACGGGUGAGUAACACGUGGGUGAUCUGCCCUGCACUUCGGGAUAAGCCUGGGAAACUGGGUCUAAUACCGGAUAGGACAAUGGUUUGGAUGCCGUUGUGGAAAGUUUUUUCGGUGUGGGAUGAGCUCGCGGCCUAUCAGCUUGUUGGGGGGGUAAUGGCCUACCAAGGCGUCGACGGGUAGCCGGCCUGAGAGGGUGUACGGACACAUUAGGACUGAGAGGCGGCCCAGACUCCUACGGGAUGCAGCAGUGGGGAAUAUUGCACAAUGGGCGCAAGCCUGGUGCAGCGACGCCGCGUGGGGGAUGACGGCCUUCGGGUUGUAAACUCCUUUCGCUAGGGACGAAGCGUAUUUGUGACGGUACCUGGAGAAGAAGCACCGGCUAACUACGUG
rnacentral:rRNA from 1 species